GUUCCUUGCUCUUCACUCCAUAUUAUAUAAAGAAAUGAACUUCCAGAUCUAAGGUAGGCGUUUUCUGUAUAGUUUAUCCAUGUGGAACUGAGAAUCUGCAAAGUUAAGAAAACUUGUUUAGAAGUAGCAGAGUCAGGAAAUUCCAUGGCUUGUCAGGAACAGAAUGAAGAGACAUCUUGAAGCCAUAUGUGAGUAGUGGUUAAGGGCAUU
rnacentral:lncRNA from 10 species